GACGGAGGGUGCUAGCGUUGUUCGGAAUUACUGGGCGUAAAGGGCGCGUAGGCGGCCGCUUGCGUCGGAUGUGAAAGCCCGGGGCUCAACCCCGGAACGGCAUCCGAUACGGGGCGGCUCGAGACCGGGAGAGGAGGGUGGAAUACCCAGUGUAGAGGUGAAAUUCGUAGAUAUUGGGUGGAACACCGGUGGCGAAAGCGGCGCGCUGGACCUCUUCUGACGCUGAGGCGCGAAAGCCAGGGGAGCGAACGGG
rnacentral:rRNA from 1 species